rnacentral:rRNA from 1 species
AAACCGCCCUAGUUCUAACCGUAAACGAUGCCGACCGGCGAUCCGCCGGCGUUACUCCAAUGACGCGGCGGGCAGCCCGCGGGAAACCAAAGUCUUUGGGUUCCGGGGGAAGUAUGGUUGCAAAGCUGAAACUUAAAGGAAUUGACGGAAGGGCACCACCAGGAGUGGAGCCUGCGGCUUAAUUUGACUCAACACGGGGAAACUCACCCGGCCCGGACACGGCGAGGAUUGACAGAUUGAGAGCUCUUUCUCGAUUCCGUGGGUGGUGGUGCAUGGCCGUUCUUAGUUGGUGGAGCGAUUUGUCUGGUUCAUUCCGAUAACGAACGAGACUCCGGCCUGCUAAAUAGUCGCGCCGGCCGCCGCGCCGGGCGCCGAUUGUCAGAGGGACCUU